rnacentral:tRNA from 1 species
GCAGGGGUAGCAAAGUCCGGUCAAAUGCGCGGGACUUAAGAUCCUGUGGCCUAGCGCCUUCAAGGGUUCGAAUCCCUUCCCCUGCA